AUUGCGCGGGAAGUAAUUGAUGAAGGUGAAACCGCGGCACUGGUCGAUGGCGUGAAAAAGCGGGUUCCAGUCGAACAUCGAGAGCAUGAAGGGUGGCAGCGAAUUGGCGACGAACAUCUUGCCCGAGGCGAUCAUGUUGGCGCGCUG
rnacentral:ncRNA from 1 species